UUCAGUUUGAUUAGGUCCCACGGGUUUAUUUGUGCUCUAAUGUCUAUUGCUUUGGGAGACUGACCUGAGAAAAUAUUCAUGAUGUUGAUGUCAGAGAGUGUUUUGCCUAUGUUUUCUUCUAGGAGUUUGAUGGUGUCCUGUCGUAUAUUUAAGUCUUUCAGCCAUUU